CGCGGUCCUGUGACGUCACGCGCGCGCGCGCCCCGGCGAAGCGAAGUGGUCGUCGGCGCCCGAGGGUCCGGGGCGUUCGCCAUGGGCCCGCGCGUGCCGCUCCCCCCGGAGAUCCAGCUGGCCCAGCGCCUGGCCGGGAACGAGCAGGUGACCCGGGACCGGGCGGUGAAGAGGCUCCGGAAAUACAUCGUCGCCAGGACUCAGCGGGCCGCAGGUGGUUUCACUCAUGAUGAGCUGCUGAAGGUUUGGAAAGGACUGUUUUACUGCAUGUGGAUGCAGGACAAGGCCCUCCUCCAGGAGGAACUAGGGAGGACCAUUUCCCAGCUCAUCCAUGCUUUUCAGACCACAGAGGCACAGCACCUGUUCCUUCAAACAUUCUGGCAAACCAUGAACCGCGAGUGGACGGGCAUUGACAGACUGCGCCUGGAUAAGUUCUACAUGCUCAUGCGGAUGGUCCUGAACGAGUCCUUGAAGGCCCUGAAGAUGCAGGGGUGGGAAGAAAGGCAGGCGGAACGGCUGCUGGAGCUGCUGACGACAGAGAUCCUGCACCCUGACAGCCAGGCCCCCAGCGGGGUCAAGAGCCACUUCCUUGAGAUCUUCCUGGAGGAGCUGAGCAAAGUGGGCGCCGCGGAGCUGACGGCGGACCAGAACCUCAAGUUCAUCGAGCCCUUCUGCACGAUCGCCGCUCAGACUAAGGACUCCCUGGUCUUGCAUAACAUCACUCGGGGCGUCUUUGAAACGAUCGUGGAGCAGGCCCCGUUUGCCAUCGAGGACCUUAUGAAUGAGUUGGAGGCACCAGAGGAGGAGGAGGGGAUGUCGGAGGACGAGUGGGAGGAGGACGUGCCGUCCAAGGAGCCACGGAGAGGCUCUCUCCACGGGGCCGCACCUGACACGAGCGAGGAGCCAGCAGGAGAUGGCGAGGACAGCAUGGGCCCCGUCCUCCAGUUUGACUAUGAGGCUGUGGCCAGCAGGCUGUUCGCGGCGGCCAGUCAACAGGACACCCCUUCCCAGAACAGGAAGCGCCUCUACAAAGUGAUCCGGAAGUUGCAGGACCUCGCUGAAGGGCUCUUCCCUGAGGAUGACGUUCCGGAAAAAGCCUGCAGGAACCUGCAGGAAGACAGGCGGGAGAGGAAGACGAAGAAGCGUUUGCCCAAAUCUGCGUUUCAGAACAAGGCAGGGAAAGGCGGUGAGGAGGACUCGUGUCCAGACCUGAGCUCCGGAGCUGAGAGGAUGGCGAGGCGGCAGGGCUCGGGGGCUGAGCGCACCGGGCCCCAGGAGCAGCCCGGGGGCCCUGUUGGGAGAGGGGCUCGGAAGAGGCGGCGGCGGCGGCGGCCUCGGGCGGGGGCCAGAGCGAAGGUGACCGAUUGCCAGGACCUGCGGAUGAGGAGGCGGCGGCCGCCACGGAGCGGGAAGUGACCCCGGCAGGCCCCGCACGUGCGGGGAGGCCCUUCGCUGCGGCCCCUCCGUCUCGUGCUGAGCCGUUGGUGCCGUUUUGUGUGUGUGGCGGGGACGGCCUGUGCUCUGUUGUCUCGGCCGAAAUUUCUUUGGUCAAAAGGUAAGGAAACAGCCACACGCGGAAUUUGUGAAGAAACGAAAAUCCGACCAGAUCGUAGCCCUCAAACAAGAGGAUCUGUGGCUUCCUCAGUGCUGUUUCCAGGUGGUUCUCCUACCACGCUGUGGUCCUUCCCUUACCAACCGCGUCGUGUGGACGAUGUGACCGUUGGCGCGCUGGCCAGCCGUGGGCGGCUUGCGGUCGCUCCUGCAUCUGCCAGCGCCCCUCCCUGUCAGGACGGGCUCUCCUUGGGCCAAACAGGGCAACCUCAAGAGGAAACGGAAGGUGACCGCCACCCAGUGCCCCCAGGAGAGCCUGUGUCCAGAAGAGGACGUUGUGUUUAUUACUUGUGUAUUCUUUUUCUAGAAUCACUUUACUGAGCUUUAACUCACAGGCAUUAUAAGUCACCUCCAUCAAGCGUAGGGCUCCGUGGGUCAGAGUUAUGUAACCAUCCGCAUUCCAGCCUUUGUCAAAGAAACCAGUGUCCUUGAACUGGCCCUCUCGCGGCCCCCACCGCCACCCCAGCCCCUGGCCAACCCGCACCCAUUUUCUGUCUCCGUGUUCUGGACUUUCCAUGUAGAUGGAAUCAUCCGGUGUGGGUCUUCUGCGUGCGGUUUUUGGUGCGGAUGUUUUCUGUGUGCAUCCGUGUCGUCCCACGUCGUCUGGGCCAGGACUUCAUUCCCUGUGUGGCCGAGUAAUGUUCCACCGUGUGGAUGCCCAAGUGUCACCUGCUGUCCGAAAGCACAGUGUUCCUGUGAGACCUUUCUUCAGCCGAAACGGCAUAAAGCAAAACAGUUACCGUUAA